rnacentral:rRNA from 1 species
AGUGAACGCUGGCGGUAGGCCUAACACAUGCAAGUCGAACGGCAGCACAGUAAGAGCUUGCUCUUACGGGUGGCGAGUGGCGGACGGGUGAGGAAUACAUCGGAAUCUACUUUUUCGUGGGGGAUAACGUAGGGAAACUUACGCUAAUACCGCAUACGACCUACGGGUGAAAGCAGGGGAUCUUCGGACCUUGCGCGAUUGAAUGAGCCGAUGUCGGAUUAGCUAGUUGGCGGGGUAAAGGCCCACCAAGGCGACGACCCGUAGCUGGUCUGAGAGGAUGAUCAGCCACACUGGAACUGAGACACGGUCCAGACUCCUACGGGAGGCAGCAGUGGGGAAUAUUGGACAAUGGGCGCAAGCCUGACCCAGCCAUACCGCGUGGGUGAAGAAGGCCUUCGGGUUGUAAAGCCCUUUUGUUGGGAAAGAAAAGCAGCAGGUUAAUACCCCGCUGUUCUGACGGUACCCAAAGAAUAAGCACCGGCUAACUUC